UCAGGUCCCUAGGAAGACAGCAAAUCAGAGGAAAGUGACUUGAGCCAUUCAAGAGUGUAGCUUCAUGCAAACAGGUCACGACCUGUCCAAGCCAGGUAUCUCCUUGAGAAUUAGCAGUGAACAGACGGUCCACAUCUGUUUUGCAAGAGGGUGAAUUCUCCCCACCCCUGGGGGGACACUUGGCAACAUCUGGGCAUUUUGGUUGUCAUACAGAGAGAUAUGCAGAAGUAUUUUCAUGGAUGCAAGAGAUGUCACUAAGUGUCAUACAAAGCACAGAUGAGGCCCAUCCCUCUAUGAGCCAUUCUAUGUGGCCACUCCCUCUACCCACUAAAGAGCUCUCAGCACUUAAUACCUCAGAGUUCACACUACCUGAAGAAACUGACUUCACUUUCAAACAGUUUCUGUAUCUCUAUGGAAGGACUGCAUGUUCCCAAAAACAUGCUUUGCCAAUAAAAUGUCCGAACUCUCAUGCCCUCUGUGUUUCUGCCAUAUCGCUCCAAUGACCUCAGCUCAGCAGCCACCUGCUGGUGUCCCUGACUUCACCUAGGGCCCAUCAGAAAUGAGAAGGCCAGUCUGCCUGUGUCCACACAGCCUGAUGCACCCCAAAACAACCCUCAGCAUUGAUCAGCAAGCCUAGAUUUGUCAACAAACUAGCCCAGGGUGGUCCAGAGCUCCGUGACCCAUCAGUCCCAGUUGCUGGUCCUUCCCUGGCCCACUUCCCACUUCAUUACUGGGGUUUCCUGCAAAUAAACUAAGUGAACUCA